rnacentral:rRNA from 1 species
UACGGAAGGGCAGCAGUGGGGAAUAUUGCACAAUGGGCGAAAGCCUGAUGCAGCUAUGCCGCGUGUAUGAAGAAGGCCUUAGGGUUGUAAAGUACUUUCAUCGGGGAGGAAAAAACAAAACUAAUAAUUUUAUUUCUUGACGUUACCCGAAAAAGAAGCACCGGCUAACUCCGUGCCAGCAGCCGCGGUAAUACGGAGGGUGCUAGCGUUAAUCAGAAUUACUGGGCGUAAAGAGCACGUAGGUGGUUUUUUUAAGUCAGAUGUGAAAUCCCCUGGGCUUAACCUAGGAACUGCAUUUUGAAACUGAAAUACUAGAGUAUCGUAGAGGGAGGUAGAAUUCUAGGUGUAGCGGUGAAAUGCGUAGAUAUCUGGAGGAAUACCUGUGGCGAAAGCGGCCUCCUAAACGAAUACUGACACUGAGGUGCGAAAGCGUGGGGAGCAAACAGGGAUUAGAUACC